AUUGAACGCUGGCGGCAGGCCUAACACAUGCAAGUCGAACGGUAACAGGAAGCAGCUUGCUGCUUUGCUGACGAGUGGCGGACGGGUGAGUAAUGUCUGGGAAACUGCCUGAUGGAGGGGGAUAACUACUGGAAACGGUAGCUAAUACCGCAUAACGUCGCAAGACCAAAGAGGGGGACCUUCGGGCCUCUUGCCAUCGGAUGUGCCCAGAUGGGAUUAGCUAGUAGGUGGGGUAACGGCUCACCUAGGCGACGAUCCCUAGCUGGUCUGAGAGGAUGACCGGCCACACUGGAACUGAGACACGGUCCAGACUCCUACGGGAGGCAGCAGUGGGGAAUAUUGCACAAUGGGCGCAAGCCUGAUGCAGCCAUGCCGCGUGUAUGAAGAAGGCCUUCGGGUUGUAAAGUACUUUCAGCGGGGAGGAAGAGAGUAGAGUUAAUACCUUUGCUCAUUGACGUUACCCGCAGAAGAAGCACCGGCUAACUCCGUG
rnacentral:rRNA from 1 species